UACGGAGGGUGCAAGCGUUGUCCGGAUUUAUUGGGUUUAAAGGGUGCGUAGGCGGCCCGUUAAGUCAGUGGUGAAAGCCUCCAGCUCAACUGGAGAACUGCCAUUGAUACUGACGGGCUUGAGUACAGACGAGGUUGGCGGAAUUGAUUGUGUAGCGGUGAAAUGCAUAGAUACAAUCAAGAACUCCGAUUGCGUAGGCAGCUAACUAGGCUGUAACUGACGCUGGGGCACGAAAGCGUGGGGAGCGAACAGG
rnacentral:rRNA from 1 species